CAAUAGCUUAUAUUAAAGUUGUUGCGGUAAAAAAGCUCGUAGUUGGAUUUCUACCGAAGAUAGCCGGUCGGGUCUUCGACCUUGUAUCUGGUUUUGUCUUUGGUAUCCUCAUAGGGAACGUUUCUGCGCUUUAUUGCGUGGUGCGGUAUCUAUGACUUUUACUUUGAGGAAAUUAGAGUGUUCACGGCAGGCAAACGCCUUGAAUAUAUUAGCAUGGAAUAAUAACAUAGGAUCUUCGUCCUAUUUUGUUGGUUUCUAGGGCUAAGAUAAUGAUUAAUAGGGAUAAUUGGGGGCAUCUGUAUCAACGCGUCAGAGGUGGAAUUCUUGGAUUGCGUUGCGACAAACUACUGCGAAAGCAUUUGCCAAGGAUGUUUUCAUUGA
rnacentral:rRNA from 1 species